UACGUAGGGUGCAAGCGUUGUCCGGAAUUAUUGGGCGUAAAGAGCUCGUAGGCGGUUCGUCGCGUCGGCUGUGAAAACUCGGGGCUUAACCCCGGGCCUGCAGUGGGUACGGGCAGACUAGAGUGCGGUAGGGGAGACUGGAAUUCCGUGGUGUAGCGGUGGAAUGCGCAGAUAUCAGGAGGAACACCGAUGGCGAAGGCAGAUCUCUGGGCCGUAACUGACGCUGAGGAGCGAAAGCGUGGGGAGCGAACAGG
rnacentral:rRNA from 1 species